CAAACCCUGUUUUUAUCUUUUAUCUUUAUCCUAUCCUAUUCUCCCUUGCUUUCACACUUCUCACACACACACACACACUCACUCUCCUUCAAUUCAAUUUAAUUCAACACAUAAUUGGAAAGUACUUAUCCACCCCGACUCAUCUCCAAACCUUUUACCUCCCAACGAAUUUACAGCAGAAUCAAUACAAAUACAAAUACAAAUACGAAGACAAAUCAUCCCACAUGAACGCUUUCUCUUACUUUUUCUUUUUCUUUUUUUUUUCAGAGUCAUACAUAUCCCAUAAUAAUUGACCCCAAAUCCAACAACAAUGAUCAUAAAUCACAAACAUAACACAUUUGCAGCAAAACAAAGAGAGCAACCGACACAACAUAGUGAACUCUGAACAUACAUUAAACAUUAUUCUUUUUCUUUUCUUUUGCUUCAAUGGUGGAUAAGCCAAUGAGCAAUCACAGAACCCGUUUCCCUUUCUCCAUCAACAAGCUCAUCUUCUGGUCUCUCAUCUCCCUCGCCGUCAUACUCUUCUUCUUCGUCGGAUCUCCACCUUCCCCCGCCACCACCACCACUUCCUCCUCCCACUCCCGCCGCUCCCUCCGCGGCGGUCCUCAGUGGCAAACCUCCGUCAUUCGCUCUUCCACGCCGUCAAAUCCCAAAGGUCUCCGCGUCCUAGUCACCGGCGCCGCCGGCUUUGUCGGCAGCCAUGUCUCAGUGGCACUCAAGCGCCGCGGCGACGGCGUUGUCGGCAUCGACAACUUCAACCGCUACUACGACCCAUCGUUAAAACGUUCACGCGCCGAUCUACUAACGCGUGAGGGCGUGUUCGUUGUGGAAGGCGAUAUCAACGAUUCAUCGCUCUUGAAAUCGCUCUUCAAGCUCGUGAAGUUCACGCACGUGAUGCACCUCGCGGCACAAGCCGGAGUUCGUUACGCCAUGAAGAACCCUUCCUCUUACAUCCACAGCAACAUCGCAGGCUUCGUGAACCUUCUAGAAACUUGCAAGAGCGUGAACCCUCAACCCGCUAUAGUCUGGGCUUCUUCGAGCUCCGUUUACGGCCUCAACUCGAAGGUUCCAUUCUCCGAGAAAGAUCGUACGGACCAACCCGCAAGCUUAUACGCCGCAACGAAGAAAGCAGGUGAAGAAAUCGCGCACACUUAUAACCAUAUCUAUGGACUUUCCAUGACAGGCUUGAGAUUCUUCACUGUUUAUGGACCUUGGGGGAGGCCUGACAUGGCGUAUUUCUUCUUCACGAGGGACAUUCUGAAGGGGAAACAGAUUCAGAUAUUUGAAGGCGCAGAGCAUAGAUCGGUGGCGAGGGAUUUUACUUACAUUGAUGAUAUUGUGAAGGGUUGUUUGGGGGCUUUGGAUACUGCUGAGAAGAGCACUGGAAGUGGUGGCAAGAAGAGUGGGCCUGCGCAGCUGCGGAUUUUUAAUCUUGGAAAUACUGCUCCGGUGCCGGUUGGGAAGCUGGUGAGUAUUCUGGAGAAGUUGUUGAAGGUUCAUGCCAAGAAGAAGGCUGUGGCUAUGCCUAGGAAUGGGGAUGUUCCUUUUACACAUGCUGAUAUAAGUUUGGCCAAGAAAGAGAUUGGGUAUAAGCCUGGUACCGAUUUGGAGAAGGGUUUGAACAAGUUUGUGACUUGGUAUUUGGCUUAUUAUUCUAAUGAAUCUGGGAAGAAAGAUAGGCUAAGUUCUUGGUGAUGUCAAUUUGAAUCAUUUUCUUUGGGGAAUUCUACUUUUGUAUUCAUUUUUCGCUGUCUAUAGUUGUACACUCACAAUAAUGUGGAUUCAGUUCUGUAGUUCUGUGCAGUAAAAUGCAGGUUCUCUUUCUGUUAGGCUCAUCUCUGACCAACCUUUUUACCUGACAUGAAAUCAAAGUUUAUACAAGCACGUAUGUGAGAACAGAAUUAGCAGUCUAAAAUGGGGAGAAUUCUGAUUUGCAUGCGUCCACAUUUCACAGACCACAGAUUGAGACCCAAAGAAUGGUUAGGCUUGUGUCAUUAAAUGGGGACAAGAAACAAGAAUCAUAUCUCGAUCUAGAUUUUUUUUUUUUUAUAAAUUUUGUGUGUUUUUGACUUUUCCUCUAUUCUGGUUUAGAUGCCAUUCUUUGGAUGCUGGAGCUCACAUGAUGCAACUACUUUCUGCUGCAUGCUGAGUUGGAUUCAUAUGCAUAAUGCAUAUUACUCGUUUUCACAUGUUUCAUAUUUGGGAUUAAAAAGAACAAAGGAGUAAAAAUAAUGAAUUCAUAUGGUUAUUUUAAAAGUGAUCUUGCUGAAUAAAAUUAGGUAAACGAAAGUUAAGAAAAUAUUUCCUGGAAUGUUGGUAAAUUUUUGCAUAAUUUAAUUGCAACCUAUGUUGAGGACUGCAUUACAAUUAGUAAGUUGUAUGGGGUCAAACAUUCUACACCAUUUUUUUUUGGUUCUCAACUUUCUAGAUUGUACAUAUUGGAAGUAAAAAAGCAGCAUAGAUUGUGAGUGUCUCAGGAAGCCAACAAAAAAACAAGUGAGGUUUAAUGUUACAAGCAAGAGAAAGAGACUCCAUCAGCAUUCAUGCUGCAGGAAGAUCCUUAAUUAGGGCUAUGUGAUUAAUAAUUAUAUUAGUUGUGUACGAUGAAGACAUUAAUAUAAAGAGGAUACAUUCAAAAUUUAAAGUACAGAAAAGUAGUAACAAUAUAGUUAUAAAUUUAAUAUAUAGUUUUAUCUUUCUAGCUCCAUAUUCACAGCAUAAGCUCUGUUUCUCGGAGGCUUCAUAGUCACAAGAAAAAAAAAGUGCAGCUAAGUGUAGUCUCGCGUUAACCUGAUAAUUGUAUUAGUAGUUGAUUUCACUGAGAAAGGGAAAAAUUUUACUGGUGAAAAAACUUCACCAACUGAAUCAAGUUUCAGUGAUGAUAACAUCUAUACCAUGGCCUGACCUGGCCCCCAGGUUACACCAGUAAUGUUCAUAUUUCAAUCAGUACAAAUGUUCAUGUCAAAGUAGUCAUCUCCAAUCCUGUUUAGAUAAAGAUUACGAAUAAGAAAAAAUUUUCAAUAGACACAA